GUGCCGCCGCCGCGCCGUGCAGAGCCGGCUCCCCGCUGCAGUCCCGGGGCGGCGGGCGGGCGCUGCGCUGCCGGCACAGCGGUAUGGCGGCGGGCCCGGGGCGCGGCGGCGGCGGCUGGGGCCGGAGCCGGGGCGCCGUCCUGCUGCUCUUCUUCUCGCUGUCGCCGCGGCCGCCGGCCGGGGCCGCCUGGCUGCUGGGGCUGCGGCCCGAGGACACGACGCCGGGCCGGGUGUCCCUGGAGGGCGGCGCGGUGCAGGCGGCGGAGGGCAGCCGCUUCCUGCUGCGCCUCUACUUCCAGCCGCCGCCCGAGGGCAACGGCAGCCGCGGGCCGGCGGGGGAGCGGGAGCCGCGGCUGGUGUUCAUCGAAGAGGCGGCGGCGGGGAGCACGGCGGCGCGGGGCCCGGCGGAGCGGUGCCGGGAGCGCAGCGCCUGGGCCUCGGACGUGGAGGUGGUGGGGCCGCUGCGCUCGGGGGGUGCGGCGGGAUCGGCGCUGGCCGAGGUGCGGGUGCGGGAGCCGCGCAAGGGCGAAGCGGCGGCGGCGCCGGGCGGGCGGGUUUUCUCUCUGUGCGCCUGGGACGGGCGGGCCUGGGCGCACCACGGUGCGGCGGGAGGCUUCUUGCUGCGUGUGCAGCCGGCUACCCCGGCGCUGGGCACCUGGCUGCUGCCGCUGCCCGAGGCGGGCUGGCUGCGAGCGCUGGGCGCCGUGCUGCUGCUGGGGCUGUCGGCGCUGUUCAGCGGGCUGCGCCUCUCGCUGCUCUCCCUGGAUCCGCUGGAGCUCCGCGUCCUGCGCAACAGCGGCUCGGCCGCCGAGCGGGAGCAGGCGCGGCGGGUGCAGGCGGUGCGCGGCGGCGGCGGCACCUACCUGCUGUGCACUCUGCUGCUGGGGCAGGCGGGGGCCAACGCGGCGCUGGCCGGCUGGCUCUGUGCCUCGCUGCCCGGCGGCGGGCCGGCGGUGGCGGCCGGCGGGCCCCGGGGAGCACCCUGGCUACCGGUGGUGCUGUGCGCCGCCGCCGUGUUCCUGGGCGGCGAGGUGCUGCCCUACUCGGUCUGCUCGCGGCACGGACUGGCCAUCGCCUCCCGCACCCUCUGCCUCACCCGGCUGCUGAUGCUGGCCGCCUUCCCCCUCUGCUACCCGCUCAGCCGGUUGCUGGACUGGGCACUGCGACAGGAGCUCAGCGUCUUCUCUACGCGGGAGCGGCUGCUGGAGACGCUGCGCGCCGCUGGCCCCCACGGAGACCUGGUGCGGGAGGAGUUGGCCAUGGUGCAGGGCGCGCUAGAGCUGCGCACCAAGGUGGUGGAGGAUGUGCUGACGCCGCUGGCGGACUGCUUCAUGCUCCGGGCCGAUGCCGUGCUGGACUUCGCCACCGUCUCUGAGAUCCUCCGUUCUGGCUAUACCCGCAUCCCGGUCUAUGAGGGUGACCGGCGCGACAACAUUGUCGACCUGCUCUUUGUCAAGGACCUGGCCUUUGUCGACCCCGAUGACUGCACUCCCCUGCAGACUGUCACCCGCUUCUACCGCCGCCCGCUCCACUGCGUCUUCAACGACACGCGCCUCGACACGCUGCUUGAGGAGUUCAAGAAGGGAAAGUCCCACCUGGCCAUCGUGCAGCGGGUGAACAACGAAGGGGAAGGAGACCCAUUCUACGAGGUGAUGGGCAUUGUCACCCUGGAAGAUGUCAUUGAGGAGAUCAUCAAGUCCGAGAUCCUGGAUGAGACGGAUCUGUACACGGACAAUCGGAAGAAGGAGCGGGUUCCCCACCGGGGGCGCAAGCCCCAGGAUUUCUCCAUCUUCAGGCUCUCAGAGAGUGAGAUGAAGGUGAAGAUCUCCCCACAGCUCCUCCUGGCUACCCAUCGGUUCAUGGCAACAGAAGUGGAGCCUUUCAAGUCCCCCUACCUCUCUGAGAAGAUCCUGCUGCGGCUCCUAAAACACCCCAAUGUAAUCCAGGAGCUCAAGUACGACCGAAAGAACAAGAAGGCAGCAGAGCAUUACCUCUACCAGCGCAACCGCCCCGUCGACUACUUUGUCCUCAUCCUGCAGGGGAAAGUGGAGGUGGAGGUUGGCAAGGAAGGACUGCGGUUUGAGAAUGGAGCAUUCACUUACUAUGGUGUCCCUGCCAUCAUGGCUGUCGUCUCCUCAGCUCCAGCUGUUGUUUCAGAUAAUGAUGUGCGAAAAAUGGGAAGCCUGGCUGGAUCCUCCUUCCUAUUGCCUGUCUCAGUGUCCCGUACCUUCGCCUUCAGCAGAGGGGACUCCCUGGCUGGCUCUCCAGUGAACAGGUCCCCGUCGCGGUGCAGCGGGCUCAACCGCUCCGAGUCCCCCAACCGGGAAGACUAUGGGGGCAGCAGCACACAGCUCCACAGCAGCAGCAACAACAUCUACACACCCGACUAUUCCGUGCACAUCCUCUGCGAUGUGCAGUUUGUCAAGGUGACUCGGCAGCAGUACCACAAUGCACUGGUGGCCAGCCGCAUGGACAGCUCACCCCAGUCACCUGACAUGGAGGCCUUCGACAGGGAUUCAACCAAGGCCUCGACCGCACGGGGAACCCCACAGACACCCAAGGAGGAUCCCACCACCCUCUUGAACGAGAGAAACAAUGUCAUGUGCAGCCACUCCGAGGGGCUGCACAGUCCCAGCGAUUCGGUGUUCCUGCGCAUGGAGGGCAUCCCCUUCAUCCAGGAGGAGCUGGCUGACAAUGAGGAGAACAGCAAGCGGCAGAUGAGUGCUGCGAGACCGUCCAGGAAGCAGAGUCUGCAGGCAGAGAGGCCAGGACCAGCUCAUCCCCAAGCAGCUCUGAGGAGGCGCUAGGCAAGAGGCUGCUGAGAUCCCUCAGUGGGCGAAAGCAGCGGACAUCAUCGGAGGGUGAGAAGACACCAGAGGAAAGCUCCAAUCUCACCCCAUUAAUCACCUGAGCAGCCGCGUGGCUGGAGCACAGUGCUGGAGGCCCACGCAGACUGGAGGUCUGCAGCAUGGGGGUCUCCUGCCAUGAGGCUCACGUCCAACAGCAGGAGGUCUGCACUCGCUCGCUGCCUGCCCGCCCACUCGUGCCGCCCCUCCCUGCAGGACUUGUGCAGAGCCCCAUCCCCAGGCGAGAAAGGAUGUGCCCCUGGCAGGGCUGAACCACCCAGGCAGCCUGGACCAGUUAGCUGGAGUCCGAGGGCCCUUGCCCAGCUGCUCCCUGGUAGCAUCUGGUCUCAAGGAAUAGGUGGAAAAAGGAAAAGUGGGGAAGCGUCUGUCACGGUGUCCCUGCAGGCAGAGCAGGGAGGGGCGGCCCAACCCAGAACUGCCCUUAGCAUCAUUUACCAUCCCCAUCCCAGCAAGGCCUGGAGCCCCUUGGUGCUGCACAGAUGUCGUCUCCACCAUGAGGAGGAUGUGCUAUUUGGGGGGUGCCACCUGCAGCUCAGGGCCCCAGCACAUGUUUGUGCCGUACCUGGUGACAUGCACGCUUGCAGCGCCUUGCUCAUGCUGACCAUCGACUCAGCCCCGCACUCCCGAGCCCCUGCUAGGCACAGGGCAGGGAGCCCCACUCACUCCCGAGUGCAGACCCCUCCCUGGGGAGGGCCUGCUCCAUGCUACAUUGGACCAUCCUCCUCUCCACACAUGCCCACCUGUGUGAGGGAGGCUCGCACCAAGCCUUCGGUUUGGUACAGACCAGUCAGUAGUUUUUGUAGAGGCUGAACGCAACAGGGAUAUUAAAAGUGAUUUUUCCCUGAGCAAUGCCAUCUCUGUGUCAAUGGUUGUAGGGAAAGAUGUGCUAACCCCUCCCACCAGGCCAGGCUGCCCUCAUACCCAGGGCCAGGGGUGGCUGGAGUAACUGGACUCAGCAUCACUGAAGGGAGCAAGUAGAGAAACAGGUCAGCAAGUGCUUCCCAAUUUCUCUCCAUGAACCUGGGCUCUCUGUCACUCCUGCUGCCAGGAAAGCAAUUUGGCAUGCAGAGUUACACCACAGCAGUGCAGACAGGGACUGGGGAAGAAUAGGAGUUAAUAUCAUGCUAUUGCAAACACAAUAGUGGGAUACACAUGCUGGAGUACAGCCUGACAGAUAACAACAGAAAUCUCAUAGUCCACACAUGCUGAUAAAACUUCAGGUGGAAUAACUGCAACUCUGCCUGGACACUGCCCUUUCUAAGGAAACACAUAACAAGUGAAGGGUAGACAGAGGAAAGCAAGGGUUGGAAAACAACCUACCCCAAAGGCUGAAGGAAACAGAGUCACUUUAACCUUAACUGGUGAAGGAUGUGAAGGGGAGAGAGGAAGUUUUCAAAUACCGUAAAGAGGAAAGGAAUAAUCUGUUCUCUGUUGCCAUGGUAAAUGGCAUAAUGGGUAAUGAGCUUACACCACAGAAAAGGAGAAAUUUAGGUCACUUGCUAGGAAAAACAAGGUUGGUAAGCCUAGCAAAGCACUGAUACAAAUCACAUGUGGGGCCAGAUGUGGGCCAUGCUCCACAUCUGGAGGUCUGUAAGGACAGAAUUGUAAGCAGAUUUCAGAAAUAACAAAAGCAGACUUGGUUCCUUAACUCCUUCUCCUGAGAUCACUCCUGAAAGUCAUCCUUUAACCACUUCCCCAUCAUCCCUUUUGUGGAUGGACACCAAGAAGAGAAAAAGCUCCCCACCUGCAGAAAGAAAGGCUCAUUCUUUUAUGUGGCAUGACAUAAUCCAGAAAGGACAAAUGAGACUCCAUGUACUGUCUAUGUGCAAAUACAGCAAAGGAACAAGGCACCAUUUUGCCUUUUCUGCCUAAGCUGCAGCACAAGCAAACCCAUCAAGGCAACCGUAACUAUUGCUAACUGACCCAAGGAAAGCAGCUGUUCCCCUUUCUCCACCAAGAUCUUGUCAGGAGGCUGCUCUGUCAAGGUGGUAAUAUCAGCUCACGAAUAGAUCUGCAGUGACUGCAGAGAGCAGGAGCAGAUGGUCCCACCUCUUUUUCAGUGCCAGAAACACAGGCUGUUGCUGGCAGGCCCCACUGAAGCCAGGGACAGUAGAUGGUGGUUCACACCAGGGGCCUGCUGAAAAGGAUGAACCGGAAAGAUCCAUUUUUUUGACACCCUAGGGGCAGGCCAGAAGCUCUGGGUCAGGGAGAGAUGGCCACAUGGUUGGGAAACAUAUGACCAUCCAGAAAGCAAGCAUAUACAGACACACAGGAUGAGUUGGACAGCGCAGGGCAGAAGGACAGAAAGAGGAACACCGGACGGACAUGGGAGGAACUGGUCAGCUUCAUGUAGAAUCACAGGGAGCUCUCAGAAACACCAUCCCAAUAAGACUCCCCCUUCAGUAGCAGCUGAGAUCAUUAGAGAUGCAACACCCCGAGGCAGAAAGGGACAGCCUUAAAACAAACCGAGUAAGAACCAGUGGAGAAAGCAGAAUGUUGAGGCUUUAACCUCAGCCUGGGAAGAGGUUUGUACAGCCUGAAGGCAUGGUAUCACACAAGGCAGGGAUAAUAUACAGAGACGGAGGUUUAAUUUUCUGUCAGCUACACAAAGAAGCAUUUAUCACAAUUACAAAUGUUUGCUCGUAUAAGGCUCAGAAAUCGGGAAGGGGUGGGGUGAAGGGAGGAAGCUAGCAACAGCUUUGCCCCUCCCCAAAAUACUACUGAAUGACAUUAGUUCCCAAGCCGUAUGAGAUCCCAGCCACUGGGCUGUCAUCCCACAGCGCAUUGCACUGGCACCAGACUUUGCCUAGAUCAAACUGAUCAGUUAUGUGCAGUUGAUUUGGAUGUGCUAAAGAUGCAGCUCUAAGUACCUGAAGACCAGGCUGCUAUCAGUGAAACAAGAGCUGAGGUGGCUAACACUACCCCCACCCUCCCGGGGGCACUGGCUUACCAUAUUGCAU